UUUAAGUAUCUGUCCAAGAAUUCUUCUCCUCCCCCCUUUUCCGUGCAAAACUGAAUAGUUUGAGGAUCCUUUUUGCUGCUCAUAUCUCUUCAGUUUCUCUCCUUCUUUCCCUCAAAAUUUUUGUGUAAUUUCAAGGCUCAAAGCAAGGGGUUUUCGAGGGUUUCUUGAUGCUAUUUGCUUCAUCUAUUUCGUGCACCAAUCUCACUCCAUCAUCAUAAUAAACGGGGGUUUCCAAGAGGGCUGCUUGAAUGUGCCUUGUGUGAGGGUCUAGCGAUUGAAUUUGUGGCUUUCCUCUCCUCUUUCUAGUCUAUAAUUUGUUCACGCUUCAAGAGGUGAAGAAUAGCGUAUGUUGAGUCUGGGCUGAGAGCAGAGUGUUUAGUUUGUUUAGUUUGUCCCCUAGUAGUUUUAUCGACUAUCUUUUGAUGUCUUUACCUCUCUUUAUGAGAUAGUCGAAUUUGAGGUUGUUCUGCCUCAUUGAAAGUUUUCUUUGAUCAUUUGGGAUUUCUUUCUCUUUAUUAUUUUUAUUUCAGUAAUUUAUUUAUUUUGUUUAGUUUUUUAGUAACCCUUGGAGUGACAUUCCGUCUCGACGUUAUUUCCGCUAACGUCUCGCCUUCUAUUUUAGACGGGUUCUUACACUA